rnacentral:rRNA from 1 species
CACGUAGGGGGCGAGCGUUGUCCGGAUUUAUUGGGCGUAAAGAGCUCGUAGGCGGCUCAGUAAGUCGGGUGUGAAAACUCCAGGCUCAACCUGGAGACGCCACUGAUACUGCUGUGGCUAGAGUCCGGUAGGGGACCACGGAAUUCCUGGUGUAGCGGUGAAAUGCGCAGAUAUCAGGAGGAACACCGGUGGCGAAGGCGGUGGUCUGGGCCGGCACUGACGCUGAGGAGCGAAAGCGUGGGUAGCAAACAGG